UACAGAGGGUGCAAGCGUUAAUCGGAAUUACUGGGCGUAAAGCGCGCGUAGGUGGUUUGUUAAGUUUGAAUGUGAAAUCCCCGGGCUCAACCUGGGAACUGCAUGCAAAACUGGCAAGCUAGAGUAUGGUAGAGGGUGGUGGAAUUUCCUGUGUAGCGGUGAAAUGCGUAGAUAUAGGAAGGAACACCAGUGGCGAAGGCGACCGACCUGGACUGAUACUGACACUGAGGUGCGAAAGCGUGGGGAGCAAACAGG
rnacentral:rRNA from 1 species